UUUCUUCUCCAAAACCUUGAAUGAACAAUAGGAGGAUUGUGGUCAGUCGUCUGGCGAACCCUUCGUGCAGCCCCUGAGGCAAAGACGUCACAGACUACAGCAGACUCGCCAGAUGCUCGGUUAUACUGCGUUUGCAAUUCUGCAAUUCAAUUUUGAUGCUGAAAGCUGCUUCCUGUCCCUGCAGACACAGAGUGGUGGCGGCUCUUUGAAACAGCGGGCAGGAGCGCUGGGUCAGAACCAGGCCUGGUUUAGGGCCGUGUGGCCUAUCCUGUCGCCCCAGCACUGUCAUUUCAGUCACUUCCUCCACUUCCUGUUGACGCCACUUGGCACAUCUGUACAAUAAACACUGCCUUCCUGCAGCCUACGGUUCAGGAGAUUCAACAUCAGCUCUCUCUAGAGCAGUGCCCGCUGUCUAAACACUGGGCAAAGUCAUCUGGAGAAAGCCUGUGAAAUUCAACAUGCCCAGAGGAAUAUGUGCCCCCCCCCCCCCCCCC